AGCAGCCGCGGUAAUUCCAGCUCCAAUAGCGUAUAUUAAAGUUGCUGCAGUUAAAAAGCUCGUAGUUGAAUUUCGGGACCAUCAUGUUGGUCGUGCCUCGGUACGUACUGGCAUUGUUGGUUUCUCCCUUCUGACGAACCAUGAUGUCAUUUAUUUGGUGUCGUGGGAAAUCAGGACUGUUACUUUGAAAAAAUUAGAGUGUUUAAAGCAGGCUCACGCUUGAAUACAUUAGCAUGGAAUAAUGAAAUAGGACGUUUGAUUCUAUUUUGUUGGUUUCUAGAAUCGACGUAAUGAUUAAUAGGGAUAGUUGGGGGCAUUAGUAUUCAAUUGUCAGAGGUGAAAUUCUUGGAUUUAUUGAAGACUAACUACUGCGAAAGCAUUUGCCAAGGAUGUUUUCAUUAAUCAAGAACGAAAGUUAGGGGAUCGAAGACGAUCAGAUACCGUCGUAGUCUUAACCAUAAACUAUGCCGACUAGGGAUCGGAUGAUGUUAAUUUUUUAAUGUACUCAUUCGGCG
rnacentral:misc_RNA from 1 species